ACGCGGCUGCACACGCACACGCACACGCACGUGCGAAUACCGUUGGUCGGGUCACAGAGCGAAAUUGCAGUGCCUUUGUAACAACAAUAUCUUGUUUCCAUGCCGCGUUCAACAAAGUUCAGCUGCGGGCCUCGCAACUUCCCGCGGUCCGAACGCAUUUCAUAAAAAGACGUUGGCCGUUGCACCAAAAUAAUUUUAAUAUUACCCAGGAUUAUGUAGACCUCAAAUCCAAUGCAGUUUUGCUACAUGCGGCAUGCUCGGGUGCUUCAUGUUUGACCACAGGCCGCGUCACAGAACUGCAAGAAUACGGCCCGCCUGCAGGACCGAAUGCACUGCAAUAUUAUAGAAUUAUAAACCCUUCAAAAUCAUGCAAACAGAUUUUCAAAAUACUACUCCAUCAUGGAAAUCGCCUCCUCCUAGUAAUAGGCAAAUAGGGCCGGUCAUCCGUGAACAGCACCUAAUAAACGUUGUUGCAUGGUAAAUGACGGCGUCAGGCUGCUACACCUCUGCAAUGCUAAUCGCAAGUUACACAGAAUUAUGUGCCUAUGAACUACGCGUGAAUUUAAUUAUUUGCUCGGACGAAGGUGGGCUAGUUGCGGUAGGUUGCGCUUGUGGAACUGUUUAGCUACAAGUCAAAGCUUCACACUGGUCCCUGUUCUAAUGGCCGUUAUGUCUUGCAUAGACGAAAUGGAUCAGUUUUUGUUGUUGUUCUUCGCAUGGUCUGUUCGCCAGCCAGCCUGCACGUGUUAUGUCGCCACACAAUGGCUUCGUCUUCAUUCCCACGCCCUCUGGUCUAUUUGCUGUAGCUCAACGUUGAUGUUAGUCUGCUUCCGUUUAGGUCCGCGUUCAUGACUUGUCCUUGCUGGUCUUCUUAUAGGGGGAGGUCCAUUUCCUUGAUGUUCUCCUUUGACCUGUGAAUCUCGCAUUACCUGUAACAGGAAAUGACAUGUGACUUUCGACAACAACUCAAGCGUCUGCUGCAGCACACUUGCAUGAAUAUGCUGGUGCGACCAGUGACAAUACCACCAAGCAUACGCACCCGGGCAAAAUGUCAUCAUCCCGCAAAAUAAACCAAAACAUAACUUCUACGCCGCCAGGACGCUGUGCGUCCAAAUUGGACGGACGGCACACACUUAAUAGCCAGCCGAAAUGUACGUAACAAAUACUUUACCAGCGAAUAUUGAAACGUGGCAUUAACAUCAUACACCGGAAGCACGUCCAACGAAUCGUUGUAUAGCAUGUGCAAAAGUCCUUCUAUGUCUGUGCGACGUAAAGCAAACUAUUAAAAAAUAAUACGGAAGUAGCAGGCGGGGGCCCAUAACCACUUACCCUGCCUUUAUAGACACUGACCCUGUGUGAUAAUUCAAUUGUAUUUGUAAUGUCAUGAAGUUAGUUGACGAGCUAUCAAUUCCACUCAGCCAAUCCAUUAUAAGAGUAGAGAAACGUCGGCACCGCCUAACUGUUCCGGUACUGUCACAAGCUGUAAUUCGAUCAAGAAAGGUGCUUUACUUCUCUCUGGGAUUGCAAACACAUUUCAGUAGCCACAGCGCAAGGCUCACCGCGUAUAGCAAACGCCCCAAGCUCCAUUGCGGUAUAAGAUGACAAAGCUCCCUGGAAGGCACCUAAGGGUGUCCUUACAGCGCUAACAAUGCAAGGAGUCCGUGGCGUUAGGGCCGCCAUGUUUUCCGACAUUAGGGCACCAGGUGGGUUGCAGAGCGCGGCGACCAACUGCAAAUCGAGUGGUUACCGCAGAGCUUGGUAACACGUUUAUGUUCACGUACAUACUCCAGAGGGUAAAGUUCCCAAUUACUCAUACCUCAAAGGUCACGUCCUGCCCUCGGACUUGUGUCUCAUUCCGACCGUUGGUUCGGUAAACAUCUGUACCUGCCUGCAUGUCACGAACAUAACGCACUUUGCAACUUGUAUGCUUGUCCCCAAUCCAGUACUGAAGGGAUUACGCUUGCUUGUAAACUGAAAGCGCCAAAUCCUCGAACUGACAGUUGUCCAAAAACACCUUUCUUCCUUUCUCUUAUAAAUAGCUCGAUUCGUUAACGAACAUCUUUCGUAUUCCUCAGCUUCACUGCCUACCCCCGGGGUAAUUGACCUUGAAAGCCGCAAGAGUGACUUCAACCAGGGUUAGGUCCAAACCUCACCCAGCCAAGCGUCAACGAACAUGGGCAAAAAGAAGGCGUUCAUCAACAAGAAAAAAGCCGUCACCUACAGCUUGGUUUACCGUGACCCCUCCGAAGACCCGGACGGCGAGGAUGGCGGCCAACGCGUCCUCGCGCCUGUCGGAGGCCCUCGCGGGCUGCAUCAUACAUCAGACGAUUAUUCCGAUAC
rnacentral:lncRNA from 1 species